CUCAGCCCUCCAAGUUCUAGUCUCAUGCCUAUGGGGCUUGGGCUUCCCAUCAUCAUAUCCACUACCAUAGAUUAAGGGCUCACUUCUAAAGUGCCAAGAUCUGUUCCUGGUGGUCCUCUAUCAGCGACUCCAGGGAGGAGAGGGACAAGGACCUCUGGGGUUGCCUCUGCGUUCUUGUUAAUUUGUGCCAUUUUCCUGCAUCACUGCCCAUUUUCCUCAAGGAGCACAGAAGUCAACAGCCCUCUGUGGGAAACCAUGUGCUUCAGUUACACCUGUACUGCCCUGGGGACACCACCUCUCUCUGAUUGCUACUUGUAAGGAGCAGCAACUCUGAAUGCCCAGAACAUAAUCUUCUGGGAGGGUGUUAAUGAGGGGAAGGGGCCAGAGAAUACUGCCGACCCUCAGUAGCUGGGAGGAAUGGGAGGGCUUGGGGAAGCACCAGCAAAACAUGGGGACUAUAAUUUGGGCUUUAAAAUAUACAUGGCAGGGAAGAGCUAGAAUAGAGUAUCACCUAGGAAAGUUGUAGCUAUACUUAUCCAGGGCCUCUCCUUUGGCCUUAAGGAUUCUCUGACUGCAGAUGCUUUAAUCAGCCAUAGGGGGAGAAAACAAGGACUUGGGCUAUGUGGCUGCCAAGGGAGAAACCUUAAGGUAAUACCUUAAGGAGAUGGUGUUAAAAAUCUUAGAAUUCAAAUUCCAAGAAGUUCAACAAGAACAGGGAACUAAUAAGUGAGUAGAACCAAGGGAUCACUGUACACAGCAAUAAGAAGAUUAUCCAAUGAUCAAUUCUGAUGGAUGUGGCUUUCUUCAACACUGAGAUGAUUCAGCCCAGUUCCAAUGAUCUUGUGAUAAAGAGACUUAUCUUCACCCAGAGAGAGGACUGUGGGAACUGAGUGUGGUUCACAACAUAGCAUUUUCACUCUUUUUUUUAAAAGUAGGGAUCUAAGUUGUAUAAUUUGGCUGUUUUCUUGCCUGGCAUUCAGUCAACCAACAUUAAGUGCUUACUAUAUGCCAGGCCCUGUUAAUUACUGAGGAUACAAAGACAGACAAAAACACUUAGCUCUUACCUAAAAGAAGUCACAUUCUAAUGGGGGAGACAACAUGCAAACAGAUACAUAUUUAAGAUGAUAAAACUGUAUAUGAUAAAGAUGAUAAAACUGUAAAUAGUAGAUGGGAUUUUAGCUGGAGAGCAUUGCAGGCACUGGAAACAGUGCAAAAGGCUAAACCCAGAUGGAAGAUUAUCAUGUAUGAGGAAUAUCAAGUGGGCUGGUAUUGCUGGAUCAGAGUGAAUGGAGGGAAAGAAAGGGUAAAAAGAUGGGGAAGGAGGCGGCAAGAUUGUGAAAGGCUCUCAAUGCCAAACAUUUUAUACUGAUCCAGAAAAUUGGAUCAUGGAGUUCAUGGGACCAGAGAUCAUGGUCAAACCUACUUUAGGAAAAUCACUUUGGCAAUUGACUCAAGGAUGGAUUGAAAAGUCAGGUAGACUAGUUAUAAGGCUAUACCAAUAUUCUAAGCAAGAGAUGAUAAAAAUGUAGUUACAAGUAAAGGAUACAAGUGAGCACAUCAUCAAGCAAUGAUACAGGUGUCAAGCCUGGGUGACUGAAAGGAUGAUGGUGUCAUAGUAAUAAAUCUGGGGAGAGCUCGUUGAGACAAGUUGAGUUUGAAAUACCUAUUUGACAUUCAAUUCAGGAUGUCCAAAAGUCAGUUGAUGUGGAACUGGAGCUCAGGAGAAAGACUAGGGAAUCAUUUGUACAGAGAUGAUAGUGAAAUCCAUAGGAAGAUCGCUAAGCAAUAUGGCUUAGAAAGAAGGGCAGCCACGAUUGGUGGAAUGACCUGCAUAAAGAGCCAGAACAAAAAGACAAAGGAAAUACUGGGGGAGGACAGAUCUGUGUUGCUAACCUGGCCAAGCAACUUGAAGCUUCCGUCCUCGUCCUCCCUGCUCCGGCCCAAACCACUAGGGCUUUCUGUGGCCACUGGUCUUUGGAUCCUUAGCUGGCAAAUAGCAAAGAUCAAAGCCUAGAGGAUAUGGGUGAUAUCCGACAUAUCGUAGACUAUAAUUCUACUUACAUUAUUGAACUCAAACCACCUCCUCCUGUGAGAAAGGUACUUUCGGAGCUAUUCCCAUUUUAAAAGAUUAGGUCAUGGGGGUCUGUAUUGGGUGUCAUUUAAACUCAGGUCUUCCUGAUUGUCCAGUAAGUGGGACGGCUUGAUCCGGCCUUUUCCUCUCCAUUUUCUCUCAGACCAUGGUUAUUCACCGCCCUCUGGGUACUUGCCCCUUCCCCCAACAAUGAAGUUGUUUUGUUUUGUUUUGUUUUUUGCUGAGGCCGUUGGGGCUAAGUGACUAGCUCAGGGUCACACAGCCAGGAAGUGUUAAGGGAGGCCACAUUUGAACUCGGGUCCUCCGGACUUCAGGGCUGGUGCUCUAUCCAUUGAGCCACCGCGCUGCCCCCGAAGCAUCUCUGAAGGGCUAUUUAUUACACACUAGAGCAGGGGACCCGAAGAUAACAACGAAACAAGGCUGGACUUCCUCCAGGAGUUUACAACAGGACUCCUGGAGGUGGGGCGGGAGGGGUGAUGGCGGAGGAGAACGAGUCUGUACAUAGGCUUGAACUAGCCGUUACACAAUCUAUAGAAACUUCAUUCCGACGUUCAUUCAGAAGAUCCCCGUGACCCCACCUCCUCCACGGAGACCACGCCCAGGCUACGUACGGCCCGGACAGCGCGGACCCGAUCUGGUCAGAGCCCAGUAAACGAAGCAAACAACAAUCGCACCCUUCCAUCCCGCUCCCCGACAGACGGGGCUCUGGCACCUGCGGUGGAACUCCCUGCUCCGCUCUCAGGUGCUUCCGAGCCGAGGGUCCCGGGGCCCCGAGAGGGGGAGGGGACCAAAGCCUCCCCGGAAUCCCCUGGGGCGAGGAGGGCCUUGGCUCCCGCACAGCUCCGUCUCCUCGGGGCAGCCGCGCUCAGCCCAGGCCCCAGACAGCAGCGGGUGCGAGGACCUGCGCCCCGGAGGCCCACCUUCCCGGAUCCCGCCAGGGGAAAGAGAGGGUACUUUUUCCUGGCUGGGGGAGCGAAGAUAAAACCGGAGGGGGCGGUGCUCUACAAUCAGUUCUCAUUGGCUGCGUCCGCCGCAGACUAAAACUUUAAGCCAAUGAAAAAGAGGCCAUGGCGUGACGUGACGUGACGUGACGGGAAUUCCCCGGGGAGGGCGGAAAAGGGGCUUUCCCGGUUGGGGCUGCAGGUGGCCGGGUGGCACUGGGGUCGGAAGACUAGCGAAGGCAGAACUAGCCGGUGGCGGGGCCGGAGCCGGAGCCGGAGCCGGAGCCGGAGCCGGAGCUGCAGCCGCAAACCUGGCCUGAGGGGUGCCCCUCCACACCCACAAGCGCAGGUAGGAGCCUUGGCGGUACAGCGGCAGCAGAAGCUGGACAGAGCCCAGCUCUAAAACAUGGACGAUUGCUAUGGCCCAGUGAGUGCUAGCCUAAGUGUCUCUCUUUGUGGCCCUCCUUAUCCCCAACCCUUCCUGUCUGGCGCCCUCGGCCCUCUGUCUGUCUGUCCGUCUGACCAUCUGGAGUCCUCCCUAUUUGGCUAAUCCUCCAAGACCCUGUCUUUUGGGGCCCCUCCCCCCACGGUCUUGUCUGUAUAACAGCGCUGCCCAGCCUAAAUCUGUCAGCCCCCACUGACUCCGGGUCAUCCAUCCAUCCAAACCACUGUUUCCCGGGGCCUUUGUGAUAGGAGCUGCUGGCCCCUACUCCCUACUCCCCAUCUUUCUUGCUCUGUCUGAC
rnacentral:lncRNA from 1 species